rnacentral:rRNA from 1 species
UACGAGAGGCCCAAACGUUAUUCGGAAUUACUGGGCUUAAAGAGUUCGUAGGCGGCGCAGCAAGUAGGGUGUGAAAGCCCUCGGCUCAACCGAGGAAUUGCGCUCUAAACUACUGUGCUUGAGGAAUCUAGAGGUGAGCGGAACUGAUGGUGGAGCGGUGAAAUGCGUUGAUAUCAUCAGGAACACCGGAGGCGAGGGCGGCUCACUGGGGAUUUUCUGACGCUGAGGAACGAAAGCCAGGGGAGCGAACGGG